rnacentral:hammerhead_ribozyme from 17 species
CAAGCGUCUGGGGUUAAGGAGUUCGCUGCCAUCAACCCCACUGAUGAGUCUUAGGCAGUGACUCCGAGACGAAACGCCAA